GACGAACGCUGGCGGCGUGCCUAACACAUGCAAGUCGAGCGGAAAGGCCCUGCUUUUGCGGGGUGCUCGAGUGGGGCGGGGGUGUGAAACACAUGAGUAUCCCGCCCUUGACUUUGUGAUAACUUCAGGAAACUGCGGAUAAUACAGGAGAGGAGAUCCUGCAGCAUGGUGGGCGUCGGAAAGUUUCGGCUGUGGGGGAUGUACUCGGGGCUUACCAGCUUGUUGGGGGGGUAGUUACCUACCCGGGCUUUGACGGGUAGACGGCGUGAGAGACUGAUCGGCCACACUGGAAGUGAGACACGCUCCAGACUCCUACGAGAGGCAGCAGUAGGGAAUGGUAGGCAGUGGGCGAGAGUCUGACACAGCGAGGCCGAGUGUGUGAAGGAGGUCCUCGGUGCGUAAAGCACGCUUACUGGUGAUAAACCGCUGUCGACUGAGACGAAGCGGUAUUGACGGUACCGAGUAAAGAAGCACCGGCUAACUACGUG
rnacentral:rRNA from 1 species